AGAGUGAGUAUAUAAUUGCAUUAUUUUAUACCAUACCUCUCAUUAAUUUGGUGUCUUCGGUAUUUCAAUGUCCAGGAUGACUUUAUAUGCAUUUGUUGUGCAUAGUGAUAGUCCCGGUACUAAAUGGUUAGUAGAUUUGGAUUUGCGUUUACACAAAGAGAUUAAAGUUCUUACCAUUGAAUUUCCUGACAAAAUUUGAAGUGACAGUUACUAUGAUUUGUUUGUGCUAAAGAUCUUCAUUCACCAUAUUUGCUAAAAUAUUCAACUGGUGCCCACCAUAGAAUUUGAGGUUCAUCAAAUUUGAAAACCUGCUGAUGCACCGUAUAUAUUUCUCUAUAUCGCAGCAAGUGAUCACAUUUGUUUCAGUUAAACUUGUUGAAUAUUUCUAGUCUCCUAGAGUGGUUUUGAAGAACAGUCCUCUAGAGUGUAUUAUCUUAAUGUAAAUACACUGGAAUCAACAUCCGUCGCAUAAGCCUUCUCUAGAUGAGUAAUAGUAUGAACAUGCCACCAUAGAAUUGCAAUAAUUAAUUUAGAAUAACAUCAUAGAUUUUUCUGUUUCAACAUAAUCGACCUUUUGAGCUAACAUGUCAAAUAUCUACAGUUGAACAAUUCCCGGAGUGUGAUUGAUCGGCAUGAGUAACAUAUGUGCAGUUGAUAGAGGUGGUUUGAUCGCUCGACUGAGCCGAUUACAGUCGAGGAGAUUCAAGAGGAGAAUGAGCCACUUGAGAGAUGGUUGCCGCUGGAGGAAGCCAAUGUCGAAGUGUUGUUCACCCGAGGAAGACCAUAUGCUGGGUAAUCUGAAGUCAACAGGACAAUGAGUGGUUUGCAAAGUCAAGGUAUUUUAAGGGGCGAGUUGAUUCAUAUGUGCAUGAUGGAAAGAGAGGUUGUUUCGAUCGUGAGAGCUUUGUUCUAUUUGUAGACAGAUUGUAUCUCUACUACCGACCGUGAGAGUUUUUUUUGAUUGGGACACGGCCGUGAGAGUUUGAUUCUGUUGAGAUUGUAUCUCUGAUCGCUUUAAUUAAAAAGAGAUUGUAUCCUGAUCAGUUUUUUUAAUUGUUGGAAAUAUGCCAACCGAAUUAAAAGGUUUUUUUAGAUUUUUCUGGGAUCGUGAGAUUUUUUGUUGUUAUAGGACGAUGCAGAUGUGGGAUGGUCCAACCUGAUCGUGACUUGGGUGUCACAUUGUUUUACAUGGUUAUAUUUUUUUAGCAUGAGAUGACCCAACUUGCUGUGUAUGUUUUUUUAGCGUGAGAUAACUCAACUUGUUGUGUAGGUUAUACUUCUGUGUAGGUUUUUUUAGCUUGAGAUAAAUCAACUUGUUGUGUAGGUUAUUCU
rnacentral:lncRNA from 1 species